CAUCUUCUUGUGCAAUGCCAGCCUUGUCCCGUAGACAAACUGGUGAAGGUCGGUGUGAUUGGAUUUGGCCGUAUUGGGCUCCUGGUUACCAGGGCUGCAUUCUGCUCUACACUUGGCACACUGGAGAUUGUUGCCAUCAACAGCCUCUUCAUUGACAUCAACUACAUGGUCUAUAUGUUCCAGUAGGACUCCACCAAUGGCAAAUUCAACAGAACAGUCAAGGCUGAGAAUGGGAAUCUUAUCAUCAACGGGAAGCCCAUCACCAUCUUCCAGGAGCGAGAUCCCACUAACAUCAAAUGGGGUGAUGCUGGUGCUGAGUAUGUUAUGGAGUCUACUGGCGUCUUCACCACCAUGGAGAAGGCUGGGGCCCACUUGAAGGGUGGGGCCAAAAGGGUCAUCAUCUUCGCCACCCCUUCUGCCAAUGCCCCAAUGUUUGUGAAGGGUUUGAACUAUGAGAAAUAUGACAACUCACUCAACAUUGUCAGUAAUGCAUCAUAUACCACCAACUGUUUAGCCUCCUGGGGCCAAGGCUAUCCAUGACACCUUUAGCAUCGUAGAAGAGCUCAUGACCACGGUCUAUGCCGUAACUACCAUUCAGAAGACUGUGGAUGGCCCCUCUGGAAAGCUGUGGCGUGAUGGUCGUGGGGCUGCCCAGAACAUCAUCCCUUCAUUCACUGGUGCAGCGAAAGCUGUGGGCAAGGUUAUCCCAGAGCUGAGCAGGAAGCUCACUGGCAUGGACUUCUGUGUUCCUAACACCAAUGUAUCCAUUGUGGAUCUGACAUGCCUCCUGGAGAAACCUGCCAAGCAUGAUGACAACAAGAAGGUGGUGAAGCAGGCAUCUGAAGGCCCACUAAAGGGCAUCCUGAGCUACAUUGAGGAAAAGGUUGUCUCCUGCAACUUCAACAGUAACUCCCACUCUUUCAUCUUUGAUGCUGGGGCUGGCAUUGCUCUCAAUGACAACUUUGUAAAGGUCAUUUCCCGGUAUGACAAUGAAUACAGCUACAACAACAGGGUGGUGGACCUCACAGCCUACAUGGCCUCCAAGGAGUAAGAAACCCUAGACCACCCACCCAAGGCCUACCUGUCCCAACUUGGCCCCCGUCACUGAGCAUCUCCCUCACAAUUUCCGUCCCAGACCUCCAUAACAGGAGGGGCCCAGGGAGCCCUCCCUAGUCUCUUGAAUAUCAUCAAUAAAGUUUGAUGCAC